rnacentral:rRNA from 1 species
GACGAACGCUGGCGGCGUGCCUAAUACAUGCAAGUAGAACGCUGAAGGAGGCGCUUGCUUCUCUGGAUGAGUUGCGAACGGGUGAGUAACGCGUAGGUAACCUGCCUGGUAGCGGGGGAUAACUAUUGGAAACGAUAGCUAAUACCGCAUAAUAGUAGAUGUUGCAUGACAUUUGCUUAAAAGGUGCAAUUGCAUCACUACCAGAUGGACCUGCGUUGUAUUAGCUAGUUGGUGGGGUAACGGCUCACCAAGGCGACGAUACAUAGCCGACCUGAGAGGGUGAUCGGCCACACUGGGACUGAGACACGGCCCAGACUCCUACGGGAGGCAGCAGUAGGGAAUCUUCGGCAAUGGACGGAAGUCUGACCGAGCAACGCCGCGUGAGUGAAGAAGGUUUUCGGAUCGUAAAGCUCUGUUGUAAGAGAAGAACGAGUGUGAGAGUGGAAAGUUCACACUGUGACGGUAUCUUACCAGAAAGGGACGGCUAACUACGUG